AACGUAGGUUCCGAGCGUUAUCCGGAUUUACUGGGCGUAAAGCGCGUUCAGGCGGUUUGGCAAGUCGGGCAUGAAAUCUCUCGGCUCAACCGGGAGAGGUUGUCCGAUACUGUUAGACUGGAGGGCAGUAGAGGGUGGUGGAAUUCCGGGUGUAGUGGUGAAAUGCGUAGAGAUCCGGAGGAACACCGGUGGCGAAGGCGGAUCUCUGGGCCAUUACUGACGCUGAGGAGCGAAAGCGUGGGGAGCGAACAGG
rnacentral:rRNA from 1 species